ACUGAACGCUGGCGGUAGGCCUAACACAUGCAAGUCGAACGGCAGCACAGUAAGAUCUUGCUCUUACGGGUGGCGAGUGGCGGACGGGUGAGGAAUACAUCGGAAUCUACUUUUUCGGGGGGGAUAACGUAGGGAAACUUACGCUAAUACCGCAUACGACCUACGGGGGAAAGCAGUGGAUCUUCGGACCUUGCGCGAUUGAAUGAGCCGAUGUCGGAUUAGCUAGUUGGCGGGGUAAAGGCCCACCAAGGCGACGAUCCGUAGCUGGUGUGAGAGGAUGGUCGGCCACACUGGAACUGAGGCAGGGUCCAGAGUCCUGAGGGAGGGAGCAGUGGGGAAUAUUGGGCAACAGGGGCAAGCCUGAUCCAGCCAUACCGCGUGUGUGAAGAAGGCCUUCGGGUUGUAAAGCCCUUUUGUUGGGAAAGAAAAGCAGCAGGUUAAUACCCCGCUGUUCUGACGGUACCCAAAGAAUAAGCACCGGCUAACUUCGUG
rnacentral:rRNA from 1 species